ACAGCUACCAUCUGCAGGACUAUGGCUGAACAACUCCAAGCCAGAAGCCUUACUAGAAGUGACCAGUAGU
rnacentral:rRNA from 12 species